AACGGCGAGUGAAGCGGCAAAAGCUCAAAUUUGAAAUCUGGCUCCUUCGGAGCCCGAGUUGUAAUUUGUAGAGGAUGCUUCGGGCGUAGCCGCGGUCUAAGUCCCCUGGAACGGGGCGUCGCAGAGGGUGAGAAUCCCGUCUUCGGCCGGCCGGCUUCGCCCGUGUGAAGCUCCUUCGACGAGUCGAGUUGUUUGGGAAUGCAGCUCUAAAUGGGUGGUAAAUUUCAUCUAAAGCUAAAUACUGGUCGGAGACCGAUAGCGCACAAGUAGAGUGAUCGAAAGAUGAAAAGCACUUUGAAAAGAGAGUUAAACAGCAUGUGAAAUUGUUGAAAGGGAAGCGCUUGCGACCAGAGUCGGCCGCGGGGGUUCAGCGGGCAUUCGUUGCCCGUGCACUCCCCCGUGGCCGGGCCAGCGUCGGUUUCGACGGCCGGUCAAAGGCCCCCGGAAUGUGUCGCCUCUCGGGGCGUCUUAUAGCCGGGGGUGCAAUGCGGCCAGUCGGGACCGAGGAACGCGCUUCGGCACGGACGCUGGCUUAAUGGUCGUAAGCGACCCGUCUUGAAACACGGACCAAGGAGUCUAACAUCCACGCGAGUGUUCGGGUGUCAAACCCGUCCGCGCAGUGAAAGCGAACGGAGGUGGGAACCCUCAAGGGUGCACCAUCGACCGAUCCUGAAGUCUUCGGAUGGAUUUGAGUAAGAGCGUGGCUGUUGGGACCCGAAAGAUGGUGAACUAUGCCUGAAUAGGGUGAAGCCAGAGGAAACUCUGGUGGAGGCUCGCAGCGGUUCUGACGUGCAAAUCGAUCGUCAAAUUU
rnacentral:rRNA from 1 species